GACGAACGCUGGCGGCGUGCUCAACACAUGCAAGUCGAGCGGAGCGGCGAACGGGUGAGUAACGCGUGAGUAACUGCCCCCCUCUCUGGGAUACCAGUUGGAAACCGCCGCUAAUACCGGAUAGUGGGGGAUGACUCGCGUCCUAUCCGUUUGUUGGUGUGGGAGUGGCUUACCAAGGCGACGACGGGUGGCCGGCCUGAGAGGGCGACCGGCCAACUUGGGCGGACCUACCGCCCUAGCUCCUACGGGACGCAGCAAUGUGGAAUAUUGCACAAUGGGGGAAACCCUGCUGCAGCAACGCCGCGUGCGGGAUGACGGCCUUCGGGUUGUAGUCCGCUUUCAGCCAUGACGCGGUAGUGGCAGAAGAGGCACCGGGUAAGUACGUGCCAGCAGCCGCGGUAAUUC
rnacentral:rRNA from 1 species